UAUUAUUGUAGAUUGCGAAUUGUGAAGUUUUUGAACUGAUCCGGGAACAAUAAUAUAAGGAGAAAAGCAUAGAGUAUUAUCAUAGUCGCUGAUCAGAAUAUAGUCACAGACAUUGCAUUUUUCGUUUAUCAAAGUAAUGAUAAUAUAUGAGUAUUAGUUGAGUAUUAUAUAAGAUAAUAAAGUUUUGUUCUACACGGAUGUCUUUAAUUAACUAAUUUACAGGUUUGCGCUGAAUAAAUUCGGUUUAAGUAUCCGUCAAUCACAGUACAUCAUAUUUUAUGGAUUGUAGAUCUAUAUAAUAUUAUGUACUCGUCUUUAGUGUCGGGACUUAUCUAAAUACACUAUCUAGAUACAUUUGUAAUUAUCUUUUA